rnacentral:ncRNA from 1 species
UAGAACCAGCGGGGAAAGAAGACCCUGUUGAGCUUAACUCUAGUCCGACUUUGUGAAAUGACUUGAGAGGUGUAGGCACGACCCUUAUUUUUUAACCCAAGGUUAGCUUCGGCUUGCCGAUCAGGAUGGAAGACAUUUUUAGAUGGGGAGUUUGGCUGGGGUGGCACAUUUGUUAAAAUAUAGUGCAGGUGUCCUAAGAUGAGCUCAACGAGAAUAGAAAUCUUGUGUUGAACAAAAGGGUAAAAGCUCGUUUAAUUCUGAUUUCCAGUAAGAAUAAGAAUAGUGAAAGUGUGGCCUAUCAAUCCUUUAGACCUUCGGAAUUUGAAGCUAGAGGUGUCAGAAAAGUUACCACAGGGAUAACUGGUUUGUGGCAGCCAAGCAUUCAUACCGACGUUGCUUUUUGAUCAUUCGGUGUUGGCUCUUCCUAUCAUUGUGAAGAAGAAUUCACCAAGUGUUGGAUUGCUCACCCACCAAUAGGGAACGUGAGAUGGGUUUAGACUGUCGUGAGACAGGUUAGUUUUACCCUACUGAUGACCGCAUCGUAAUAGUAAUUCAACCUAGUACGAGAGGAACCGUUGAUUCACACAAUUGGUCAUCGCGCUUGGUUGAGAAGCGAGUGGCGCGAAGCUACCAUUCACUUGAUUAUAUCUGAACGCCUCUAAGUUAGAAUUCAGGCUAGAAGAAACACACACACCCGUUGCCCGGUUGUCGACCCGCAGUAUGGGCCUUUGGCCCCCCAAGGGCACGUGUCGUAGCUGUAGGGACCACGACGGACAAGUCAUGAGCACCUCCUUGGAGCGUAAUUUCCACUGAAUGGCGGGUAGAAUCCUUUGUAGAUGACUUAAAUAUGCGACAGGGUAUUACAAGUGGUAGAGUGGCCUUGCUGCCACGAUCCACUGAGAUUCAACCCUUUGUCACUUCGAUUU